rnacentral:rRNA from 1 species
UACAGAGGGGGCAAGCGUUAUUCGGAAUUAUUGGGCGUAAAGGGCGCGUAGGCGGCCUGGCAAGUGGAAGGUGAAAUCCCUCGGCUUAACCGAGGAACUGCCCUCCAAACUGCUUGGCUUGAGUCCGGGAGAGGUGAGUGGAAUUCCCAGUGUAGCGGUGAAAUGCGUAGAUAUUGGGAGGAACACCAGUGGCGAAGGCGGCUCACUGGACCGGAACUGAUGCUGAGGCGCGAAAGCGUGGGGAGCAAACAGG